CUCAGAUCCACACCUCGCACCUGUCAGUGCCCCGCCCCGUCCUGCCCAGUCCCAGGGGAUCGACAGCGCCCGCCCGGGGCCUCUCCCAACCCCAGCGCCGUCCUCCGCGCGGCUCCCACUUGCUGCCCCCUCGCCACCACCCGUGCCCCUCGGCUCCCUGGGUCUUCAGAGGUCCCCCUCUCCUCCUCCCAAGCCCGCAGUUCCCUCCCCUCCCUUCCCCUCUCCUCCUCUGCUGCUGAGCGACUUUUCCUGCUCCCUUGCAUUCUCACGCAGGCCGUUAAGGAAUAGAAACACAAGACAAAAAUUUCCUACCUAUUUCCUCUGUAAAAUGGGCAUGGAAGAUUAG
rnacentral:lncRNA from 1 species